rnacentral:misc_RNA from 1 species
UUAUAAUUAACAAAAAAUCAGACAAUGCCGUGUUCAGUCCCGACUAAUCAGAACAAGUUCAGUCAACUACUCGAGAGCCUUUUUACAGCCCUCAAGUCUAUCAAAAUAACCAGAAAUGAUCCUUCCGCAGGUUCACCUACGGAAA